ACCAUCAAUUGAUGGGUAUUUUAAAGUACCAAUCCACAUUAGUAUGUUUCCGAAUAAUUAUGUUUCGUGUUAAUGUAUAUGCGUGUUGGAACGGAAAGCGAAAUUUCAACCAUGUUUCUACAAUUGAUGAUGCUCUGCAUAAUUUACAGUACCCACGCCCAGAAAUCGUGGCAGACAGUGUGCAAGCACAAUGCGACUGGAUCUUAUUAUUAUUGUGGGAUAAUGAAAGAGUGUUGUUACAUCAAUGGUAAAUUAAAAUGCCUGGGCACAAUUGGUGAAUUUGGCAGUUGGUACAUCCCUCGAAAAUGUAAUGUUUAUAAAAGGUCCACAUCUUAUUACAAGACCACGACACCACGACAUCUGAUGAAGACAACUACUUUACCAGCCUACAUCAAGACAACAUACAACCGACGACGAAGAACUAGAAACAUGAACAGGAUGACCAUUCGUCGAAUUGGAACAAACACACAGUCUAGGGGAUUUCCAAGAUAUACAAGAAGCACAACGGGAUACAGAUAUACAGAAUACACACUUUCUUCCAAGGAGCAACUUUUUACAAUUCUUCCGGCGUAAGAAAGUGUAUACUAACUUUAAAACGUAGUAAUAGUAGUUGCAAUGAUAAUUAUCAUCUGUAUGUGUUGCUCUGUAUACAACGAUAGGAAACAACAUAAGAUGAGACUAAGAAAUAGAAGACGUAGACAACAAUCAAGAGCCUUACAACUAACAAAUGAACAACAACAUUAUCGCAUUAUAGGUUUGUACUAUGUCAAUGGGAAUGCAGCUGCCGUUGUUGCUUCUCCAAGGACGCAACUGGAGUAUGGAGCCGAUUGGGAAAGGCUUGUCAAUUCUACCCAAAACGGUACAACAUCUAUACCCACUGAUAAUCCACCAGCAUAUGAAAAUAUCAUCAAUGGAAACACAGCCGCUAUUGAUUCAUAUCAUCCAAGGACACACACAAGAGACGACGAGGAAAGGAACACCAAUUAUAUACCAAAUAACGGUACUAUAACUAAUUUACCUGAUGAUACAAGAUAUAUACCCACUAAUAAUCCACCACCAUACGAAGAUAUUAUGAAUUAAAAUGCAGCCGCUAUUGUUUCGUAUAAUCCAGACACACACAGGAGACGACGAGGAAAGGCUUGCCAAUUAUAUAGCAAAUAACGGUACUGUAACUAAUUUGUGAGACGAAACAACAUCGACAACAACAAUAAAUGCCCCAGCAUACGAAGAUUAUAUGUAUAGAAAUAACGAGUGCAUACUUUUAUAUUUUUGCAUUUGUACAUAGUUUGUCUUAUCACCUAGUUUUGUGAGCCAUUUACUUGAAUAAAAUUAUCUUUGAACUAUAAAA